rnacentral:rRNA from 1 species
AAAUUGAAGAGUUUGAUCAUGGCUCAGAUUGAACGCUGGCGGCAGGCCUAACACAUGCAAGUCGAGCGGUAGCACAGAGAGCUUGCUCUCGGGUGACGAGCGGCGGACGGGUGAGUAAUGUCUGGGAAACUGCCUGAUGGAGGGGGAUAACUACUGGAAACGGUAGCUAAUACCGCAUAAUGUCGCAAGACCAAAGUGGGGGACCUUCGGGCCUCAUGCCAUCAGAUGUGCCCAGAUGGGAUUAGCUUGUAGGUGGGGUAACGGCUCACCUAGGCGACGAUCCCUAGCUGGCCUGAGAGGAUGACCAGCCACACUGGAACUGAGACACGGUCCAGACUCCUACGGGAGGCAGCAGUGGGGAAUAUUGCACAAUGGGCGCAAGCCUGAUGCAGCCAUGCCGCGUGUGUGAAGAAGGCCUUCGGGUUGUAAAGCACUUUCAGCGGGGAGGAAGGCGGUGAGGUUAAUAACCUCAUCGAUUGACGUUACCCGCAGAAGAAGCACCGGCUAACUCCGUGCCAGCAGCCGCGGUAAUACGGAGGGUGCAAGCGUUAAUCGGAAUUACUGGGCGUAAAGCGCACGCAGGCGGUCUGUCAAGUCGGAUGUGAAAUCCCCGGGCUCAACCUGGGAACUGCAUUCGAAACUGGCAGGCUAGAGUCUUGUAGAGGGGGGUAGAAUUCCAGGUGUAGCGGUGAAAUGCGUAGAGAUCUGGAGGAAUACCGGUGGCGAAGGCGGCCCCCUGGACAAAGACUGACGCUCAGGUGCGAAAGCGUGGGGAGCAAACAGGAUUAGAUACCCUGGUAGUCCACGCCGUAAACGAUGUCGAUUUGGAGGUUGUGCCCUUGAGGCGUGGCUUCCGGAGCUAACGCGUUAAAUCGACCGCCUGGGGAGUACGGCCGCAAGGUUAAAACUCAAAUGAAUUGACGGGGGCCCGCACAAGCGGUGGAGCAUGUGGUUUAAUUCGAUGCAACGCGAAGAACCUUACCUGGUCUUGACAUCCACAGAACUUUCCAGAGAUGGAUUGGUGCCUUCGGGAACUGUGAGACAGGUGCUGCAUGGCUGUCGUCAGCUCGUGUUGUGAAAUGUUGGGUUAAGUCCCGCAACGAGCGCAACCCUUAUCCUUUGUUGCCAGCGGUCCGGCCGGGAACUCAAAGGAGACUGCCAGUGAUAAACUGGAGGAAGGUGGGGAUGACGUCAAGUCAUCAUGGCCCUUACGACCAGGGCUACACACGUGCUACAAUGGCAUAUACAAAGAGAAGCGACCUCGCGAGAGCAAGCGGACCUCAUAAAGUAUGUCGUAGUCCGGAUUGGAGUCUGCAACUCGACUCCAUGAAGUCGGAAUCGCUAGUAAUCGUAGAUCAGAAUGCUACGGUGAAUACGUUCCCGGGCCUUGUACACACCGCCCGUCACACCAUGGGAGUGGGUUGCAAAAGAAGUAGGUAGCUUAACCUUCGGGAGGGCGCUUACCACUUUGUGAUUCAUGACUGGGGUGAAGUCGUAACAAGGUAACCGUAGGGGAACCUGCGGUUGGAUCACCUCCUUACCUUAAAGAA